CAGUUGGAGGGUAUCUGUUCUGUCCCCACGCAGUCAGGGGCGAGCGUGCUUUCUGGGGUUGGGCCUGAGGCAGGCUUCUCCUGCACCCCUUGUGGAUCAAGGUCAACAGCAGGAAACUGACACAGAGCUGGGUUCUGCGUCCUUGCGUGAGCAGGGAGACACCGCCUGAGAGCUGGGGGGAGAACUGCCCUCAUUACCUGUCUGUUAGCACUUGCCCCUGGGAAUCACCACGUUUUACUUAUCACACUUACUGAUAGACGUGUAUUACCAUCCCUAUUUUACAGGGGAGGAGAGCGACUCUCCCAGGGGUUAAGUGACUUGCUAAAGUUCACCUUUAGCUAAUGUGAGGGGCAAAGUAGGACAAACUGGACCACCUUCAACUAGUUUUAUUACCAGUAGGAAUUCAUUUUCCUGUUUCUUGCAAAGCAGUGAUAGGUUUGGCAGUUAGGCGGCACUCCUGCUCCAGACAUGCCUGGUUCAUCUCUGUCCUAUAAACAGCCCUUCUACCUCCUAGAUUUCUCACACAGUUUUCCCAACUUGGAAUGCCGCUCUCCCUUACACCAAUGCGACUCCUACACAUCCAUCAGGGCCCAGCUGACAAACUCUUCCUGCACGAGUCUUUCCCCUCCCUCACUAGCCUUCACCCAUCUCCCUUUACUCCGUGGCCCAGUGUUUAUAUUCUGGGCCAUAAAGUCUAACCCUUCAUUAUGUCACUGCUUUUUAUGAUUCUCUCAUUGUUUCAUUUUCUUCCGUCUUAUUCCAUCAGUCAGGUGAUCUUCAUAAGGGCAGGGCCCGUGGCAUAGGCACUUCCUUUACGUACCCCGUGGUUUCUAUCACGGUGCUGGGCACAAAGUCGCACUCAGUGACUGUUGUUUGGCUAAUUGACCAGACACACUCUAAACCUGGCCAAAGGUGGGCCCAGGAGCUUUUGCUAUGAGCCCUUGAGGGGUGGUAUUAGUGGGCUUUCAGCCAUUAAUCCUCCAGCAGCAACUCCCCCUCACUGGGUGGCUUGCCUGCCUGGAUUACCUGAGAGGGAGAGACAGAGCUUAACUGAAUAGAGAAUACACACUAAGACAUCCAAGGACUGCUUAGACCAGGCGCUGCUUCUUUAACGUUGCCCAUGGUAUGCGGUGAUGGAGGAUACCUAAAUGAAAUGCAAACAGACACAUAACAUGGAAGAUCUGGUCUUAAUUGAAAUAGAACAAACAAACAAAAACCAGAAGGUGAAUGACUGCUUUUUUGGAGGAGUGGUUUGGUGUUUCAUGUUGAGGGUUUUGAAACUGAUCAAAUACAUGUCUGAGGCCAGGUCUUUCCCCCUCUCACCCUCUCAGUGUGUACGAGGGCUCAUCGUUGCAGGUUAAAACGUGUUUUCACAUACGUCAUCUCAGAUGCAGAAACUGAGGCACUGAGAGUGCCAGCAGUGGUUGGUGGUGGGAAUGUCCCCAAGGCAGAGGUGAAUCAAGAUUCUUUCAUGAUGAGAGCUCCGUUGAAAGAAAGAAGAUGCACUGAGUAAGGAAAGCAACACUGAACACCUGCUCUGCCAGGUCUCAGACCUGAGUGCGUGUCCCCUGGCUGUCAGUGUGCACAGUGACGAGAUGGUGGGAACUGGUUUGACACCAACAUGAACCCUUCACCGAAAACUCAACUCAACCCCAGGGAUUUCUGAGCUGUCGAAGAAAGUUUGAUGACUUUCCUUGCUUAACCAGGCCCUGUUAAGCUCCCUUGAGGCUAAGUAAGGAAGAAGGGGCCAUGAAUUGUUUUUAAACAUCUUUAUUGGAGGAUAAUUGCUUUACAAUGUUGUGUUAGUUUCUGCUGUAUAACAAAGUGAAUCAGCUAUACGUAUACGUAUAUCCCCAUAUCCCCUCCCUCUUGCAUCUCCCUCCCACCUUCCCUAUCCCACCCCUCUAGGUGGUCACAGAGCACCGAGCUGAUCUCCCUGUGCUAUGCGGCUGCUUCCCACUAGCUAUCUAUUUUACAUGUGGUACUGUGUAUAUGUCAAAGCCACUCUCUCACUUCGUCCCAGCUUACCCUUCCCUCUCCCUGUGUCCUCAGGUCCAUUCUCUACGUCUGCGUCUCUAUUCCUGUCCUGCCCCUAGGUUCAUCAGAACCGAUUUUUUUUAAAGGAGGAAACUAACUUUUUAAAAAAAAUUAAUUAAUUUUAUUUUAUUUAUUUUAUUUUUGGCUGCGUUGGGUCUUUGUUGCUGCGCGCAGGUUUUUCUCUAGUUGCGGUGAGCAGGGGCUACUCUUCGUUGUGGUGCGCAGGCUUCUCAUUGCGGUGGCUUCUCUUAUUGCAGAGCACGAGUGCUAGGCACGCGGGCUUCAGUAGUUGUGUCACGUGGGCUAAGUAGUUGUGGCACAUGGGCUUAGUUGCUCCCCGGCAUGUGGGAUCUUUCCGGACCAGGGCUCAAACCCGAGUCCCCUGCAUUGGCAGGCAGAUUCUUAGCCACUGCUCCACCAAGGAAGCCCCCAUUUUUUUUUUUAGAUUCCAUAUAUUUGUGUUAGCAUAUGGUAUUUGUUUUUCUCUUUCUGACUUCACUCUGUAUGACAGACUCUAGGUCCAUCCACCUCACUACAGAUAACUCAAUUUCAUUUCUUUUUAUGGCUGAGUAAUAUUCCAUUGUAUAUAUGUGCCACAUCUUCUUUAUCCAUUCAUAUGUCAAUGGACACUUAGGUUGCUUCCAUGUCUUGGCUAUUGUAAAUAGUGCUGCAGUGAACAUUGUGGUGCAUGACUCUUUUUGAAUUAUGGUUUUCUCAGGGUAUAUGCCAGCUUUUGCACAGCAAAGUAAACCAUAAACAAGAUGAAAAGACAGCCCUCAGAAUGGGAGAAAAUAUUCGCAAAUGAAGCAACUGACAAAGGAUUAAUCUCCAAAAUAUAUAAGCAGCUCAUGCAACUCAAUAUCAAAAAAAGAAACAACCCAAUCCAAAAAUGGGCAGAAGACCUAAAUAGACAUUUCUCCAAAGAAGAUAUACAGACAGCCAACAAACACAUGAAAGGAUGCUCAACAUCACUAAUCAUGAGAGAAAUGCAAAUCAAAACUACAAUGAGGUAUCAUCUCACACCGAUCAGAAUGGCCAUCAUCAAAAAAUCUAGAAACAAUAAAUGCUGAAGAGGGUGUGGAGAAAAGGGAACCCUCUUGCACUGUUGGUGGGAAUGUAAGUUGAUACAGCCACUAUGGAGAACAGUAUGGAGGUUCCUUAAAAAACUAAAAAAAGGGGCCAUGAAUUUUGUGUCUUUCUGUGGAAAGGUAAAUUUCCAAAAGCAACAGCCCUUCCUCCAAAUAAAUAUGUAAUCAAAGUAAACACGGUGUUAUCUGCCUUGUAAAACUAGUGUCAAAAUGCCCUCCUGACUGCCUUCUUCCAACUAAAACACUGACCCUCCUUUAUAGAAAUUCUGGAAUCUCCAUGGCCUAGCAGAGUAACAAUAUUCACAGUAGUUUAAAUAUAUGUAUUAAGUCAAAUUAGGUUUCACUGGUCCCCCCUCCUCAUUUCCUUGUUAUCUGUCAUUUACUUCCAAUAUGCAGUGGUUGCUGCUGGACAUCAGAGAAAAUCUGUCCCAAUGCCCAUAAAAUACCACCUCCUGUUUCUCUGACUCGGUACCCACAGGGACAUCAGAACAGGAAGGUUCAUCCUUAACACCAGUAAUUAGGGACUUAGCGAGCUCUCUCCUUUACCAGCCCUUAAGUCAGCAGUCUCCUACUCAUUCAUUGGCAUGCGUUCUCUUGAGUGAUAAUCUUCACUCUUCCCACAGGUAAGUUUUUCUAGGAAAAAGUUCGAUACUGGAUAUCACUGUAGUCAGAUAAAGAAUACCUCAAGCCCUUAACCCUAUUCCAUCGCAGUGGAAACUGCAGGUUAGCUUCACCAGAACAGAAAAAGUCAUUGUAUUAUAAUGAAGCUAAUUACACUCCCUUCCACCCCCAAAAGAAUGGCGUUUCAUCAUCUAUAGAGGCGUUAUCAGGUAGUGAUUAAGAUCCUGGACUCCAGAGACAGACGUGGGUGUGGAUCCCUGCUUUGAACCAGUAACUACUCCUGUGACCAAGUAGCUUGGCUUCUGUACACCUACCUCACAGGGUGUUGUUAGACUUGUGUGAAUAAGGCAAUAUAUCGCAGUGUUUUGAUGCUAGAUAGUGCUCAGCUGUUUAAAAGAAAACUAUGUUGAUGGUUCCGAUUACAGCUGAUAUUAAUAUGAGCAGCCAGCAGGGAUUCACACAGCUCCACUGUAAGAAUUUGUGGGAAAGAGAAAAAAAAUUGGUUCCCAUCACAAAAGACCACAUAUUAUAUGAUUGCCUUUACCUGUAUGUGAAAUGUUCAGAACAGACAGAUCCGUAGAGACAGAAAGUAGAUUAGUGGUUGCCUAGGGCUGGGUAGCGGGGUAUGGGGGGACAUGGGAGGAUCACUGCUAAAGGGUACAGGGUUUCUUUUUGGAGUGGUGAAAAGGUUCUUAGAUUGAUUGUGGUGAUGGUUACACAACUCUGAAUACACUAAAAACCACUGAAUUGUAGACUUCAAAUGGGUGAAUGGUAUGGGCUGUGAGUUAUGUCUCAAUAACGCUAUUAUAAAAAAUAUAUUAGCUCCCAUUUAUGACUCAGUUAAUCUUUAUAAUAGCUCACGGUUUUAUACAACAGUCAAGAAGGCUGAGAUUAAGAUGUAUUAAAGCAACUUAAUCUGGCCCCUGUGAGUAGCGUGUAAUGUACCCAGGAUUUCCUAUUGAUUGAUUGGAACUUAGUUUCACAGAAUUGGAUUAAUCAUAAUCUUUGGUUCGUGACACAUUAGCCCCUUCGGUCCACUGAAGUCCAUCUUUUAUUUUGCUUUAUUUUAUGCAUGUAUGCCUGCUGAAUAAUAUAAUAAAUACGUCUGACCGCCCCCUGCCCAAAGGAAGGCUAGAAUAUCACCAAUAAUGUACAGUUGCCUUUGUGUUUUCUUCUCUCCCAUCCCUGUCUCCUCCCAGAGAUGAGCACUACCAUGAAUGCUGUGUUUACCAUUCCCCUGCCUCUUUUUAAAAAAAAAAUUUUUUAAAUUUAUUUUUAAUUUAUUUUAUUUUUGGCUGCAUUGGGUCUUUGUUGCUGCACGCGGGCUUUUCUUUAGUUGCGGCGGGCCGGGGCUGCUCUUCGUUGCAGUGCGCCGGCUACUCAUUGCGGUGGCUUCUCGUUGCAGAGCAUGGGCUCUAAGGCGUGCGGGUUUCAGUAGUUGUGGCACACGGGCUCAGUAGUUGUGGCUCGUGGGCUCUACAGCGCAUGCUCAGUAGUUGUGGUGCAUGGGCUUAGUUGCUCCGCAGCAUGUGGUAUCUUCCCGGACCAGGGCUCGAACCCGCUUCCCUUGCAUUGGCAGGUGGAUUCUUAACCACUACACCACCAGGGAAGCCCUCCCCUGCCUCUUUUAGAAAGUGUUUUUUUUUUUUUUUAGUGGCAGUAAGUGCGUAAAUGGCGUAUUAUUUAGCUUAGCUUAAGUUUUAAUUUUGCAUAGUUUUUGAACUUUAUAAAAAGUCUAUCAGGUUGUUCAACAUAGAUUCAUCCAUGUGGAAGAAUGCCUCUGUGGCUCUUUUGUUUUCAUGCCAUAGAGUAUCACAUUUUAUGAAUAUACUAUGAUUUGUUUAUGCAUUCUUCUUUCAGUGGGUAUUGAGAUUGUUUCCAGUGUUUUGCUAUCUUGAUAAGUUCAACCGUGAUUAUUUUUUGUAUAUGUGUCUCCUUAUACACGUGCUAAAUUUUCUCUUGGGUAUAUCCUUACAGAAAUUAGGUGACUACCUAGUAGAUUUGCUGGGUGUGCAGGCAUUCAACCUUACAAGAUAAUGUUACGUGGUUUUUCAGUUUCCACCACAAUGUGUAUGAGACCCUGUCAAUAUCCAACACUUGGUAUCGUCAGACUUCUUAGAUUUGUCAACCAAAUGGAUGUAAACCAGCAUUUCAUGGGGACAAAAUGUUAUCUGCCUCUUCCUGAUUAUUGGUGAUGUGAACAUCUCUUUAUAGGUUUAUUGAUCAUGUGUGUUUAUUUUUUAAAAAAAUAAAUAUGAAAUGCAACUUUUAUUUAAAACUUGAAGCCAACCCAAAAUGUUGCUUCAUUUUAUUUCGCUAACUCCUCCAUAUCCACAGGCUAAAUUGACUGGUUCCAUGUGUGUUUCUUGUUCUAUGAAAUGCUUCUUUAUGGUUUUUGCCCAUUUUUAUGCUAAGUUGAGGUUUUUCUUAUUUGUAGGAGUCCUUUAUAUAUUUCUGAAACUAAUCUUUUAUUGGCUAUAUAUAUUUCCAAUAUUUUCUUCAAGUUUGUAUCUUGUAUUUUUACUUUCAUUGGAGACUCUUUUGACAAACGAAUUUUGGGUUACAAUAUUUAUGUAUCUCUUCUUGUAUAAUUAGCAAGGUUUGCGUCUUGACUAAGAAAUCUUAUCCUAUUCCAAGGUCAUUAAGGUAUUCGCCAUGUAGUUCUUCUGAAAGUUUUGAAAUUUUGCCUUGACCUUUGUUUUCUUAAUCUAUUUGGUAUUGAUUUUUGAUGGUGUGAGGUAGAGUUCCUUUUCAAUUAUUUCCAUGUAAAAAGCCACCUUUUUUCAAUGAAGGGGGUUACACCUAUCCAACUUGAAAGCUCAUGCUCUUAAUCAUUCUGCUGUUCCGAGGAGAUAAUGGUGUGGUAUUAGACUGUUUGAUAAACAAGGGCUAGGCACUUGGGAGAAAAGUGAAAUAAGGCACAGUUUCUACUCUCAGUCUGUUGCUCAGUACCAGGGGCUGAGGGCUAGAUUUGGUCCUUCUUUUCAAAGGAUUUCUUCCCACUCUAAGUUUCAUGAUAACAUAUUCCAGGUCAUCUUUUGGCACUGGCAGUUCCACAGAGGGGUUCCUAUGGGAAGCUCUGGGUUCCACUUUUUAAAAACUAAAUUUAGUGUUUUUUUAAUUGAAGUAUAGUUGGUAUACGCUAUCAUAUAAGUUACAGGUGUACCACAUAGUGAUUCACAUUUUUUAAAGGUUAUACUCCAUUUACAGUUAUUACAAAACACCAGUUAUGUUCUCCAUGUUGCACAGUAUAUCCUUGUAGCUUAUUUUAUACCUAAUAGUUUGUACCUCUUAAUUCCCUACCCCCAGGUUGCCUCCCCUUUCCUCUCUCCAUUGGUAACUACUAGUUUGUUCUCUAUACUUGUGAGUUUGCUCCUUUUUUGUUAUAUUCACUAGCUUGUUGUAGUUUUUAGAUUCCACAUAUAAGUGGUAUCAUACAGUAUUUGUCUUUCUCUGACUUACUUCACUUAGCAUAAUGCCCUCAAGUCCAUCCAUGUUGUUGCAGAUGCCAAAAUUUCAUUCUUUUUUUAUGGCUGAGUAGUAUUCCCAUUGUGUGUGUGUGUGUGUGUGUGUGUGUGGACUCAAUGCAAUACCUAUCAAAAUACCAAUGGCAUUUUUCACAGAACUAGAACAAAUAAUUUUAAAAUUUGUAUGGAAACACAAAAGACCCUGACUAGCCAAAAUAAACAAUCUUGAGAAAGAAGAACAGAGCUGCAGAAGUCAUGCUUCCUGACCUCAGACUAUACUACAGAGCUAUAGGAAUCAAAACAGUAUGACAUUGGCACAAAAGAGACACAUAGAUCAAUGGAACAGAAUAGAGAGUCCAGAAAUAAACCCAUGCACUUAUGGUCAGUUAAUCUAUAACAAAGGAGGAAAAAAUUUAUAAUGGAGAAAAGAUAGUCUCUUCAAUAAGUGGUGUUGGGAAACUGGACAGCUGCAUGUAAAUUAGAAUAUUCUCUAACACCAUCUACAAAAAUAAACUCAAAAUAGAUUAAAGACCUAAAUGUAAAACGUAUCAUAAAACUCCUAGAGGAAAACAUAGGCAAAACCACUCUUUGACGUAAAUCGUAGCAAUAUUUUGGGGGAUCCUUGUCCUAAAGCAAAGGAAAAUUAAAGCAAAAAUAAACAAAUGGGACCUAAUUAAACUUAAAAGCUUUUGAUAGCAAAGGAAACAACGACAAAAUGAAACGACAACCUACUGAAUGGGAGAAAAUAUUUAUUUGCAAAUGAUAUGACCGAUAAGGGGUUAAUAUCCAACAUAUAUAAACAGCUCAUACAACUCAACGUCAAAAAAACAAACGACUUGAUUAAAAAAUGGGCAGAAGAACCGAAUAGACAUUUUUCCAAAGAGGAAAUGCAGAUGGCCAACAGGUAUACGAGAAGAUGCUCAACAUCGCUAAUCAUCAGAGAAAUGCAAAUCAAAACCACAAUGAGAUAUCACCUCACACCAGUCAGAAUGGCCAUCAUCAAAAUAUCUACAAACAAAUGCUGGAGAGGGUGUGGAGAAAAGGAAACCCUCGUACACUGUUGGUGGGAAUGUAAAUUGGUGCAGCCACUGUGAAGAACAGUAUGGAGGUUUCUCAAAAAACUAAAAAUAGAACUACCAUAUGACCCAGCAAUCCCACUCCUGGGUAUAUAUCCAAAAAACAAAAACGCUGAUUCGAAAAGAUACAUGCACCACAAUGUUCACAGCAGCACUCUUUACAAUUGCCAAGAUAUGGGAGCAACCUAACUGUCCAUCAGCAGAUGAAUGGAUAGAGAAGAUGGAUUCUACUUCUUCAUCCUUGUUUCCUUCAUUUCCUGGAGGUUAAAGUGACACAGUGGGGAAGAGCAUACGCUUAGGGCCAGACAGACCUGGUUUCAAGGUUCAGUUCUCCCACACGGUAACCCGGGGGAAGUUAAACCCUCUUGAACCUCGGUGUCUUCGCUGUGUGUCUCCAUGCAAAAUGCACAUCCUCUGCCGGAAGGCUUGGCUCCCUCAUUCAGUCCUCGGCUAGGGGUGGGGACACAGGAACUUGUGACAGCCAGCCCCUCGGGGACCAUCUGCACUGCGGAAGGGUGACAGCCCACAGAGCUGACACAAAUGACAGAUGUCCCCUACAACCCCCCAGGAUGUUACCCCAUCUUAUCUUUCUUCCCUCUACUUGGUUGGAAGAUCUUGUCGCUUCAGCUGGCCUGUGAGCUCCUGGUGGGCAGCCCUUAGACCUCAGCUUCUUCCACGGUCUCGCACGCAGUGACAUGUACA